GAGACCCACGCCAACAGUUGCCAGCACGUACUCCGGAAUGGUGGGGACACUGUUGGGACCGCCUCUGCUAAAGAGGAGGAAGGAAUGGGCAACGGUAGGUCAGCAUGCCCCGAAUUACCCGGGCUACACGCGGGCUACAAUGGACAGGACAAUGGGAAUCGACACCGAGAGGUGAAGGCAAUCCCCUAAACCUGCCCUUAGUUCGGAUUGUGGGCUGCAACUCGCCCACAUGAAGCUGGAAUCCGUAGUAAUCGCGGAUCAACAUUCCGCGGUGAAUAU
rnacentral:rRNA from 1 species